UGCAUUAAGAAUACGAAUUAUAGACACGGUCUACAAUGAGAAUUUCCCUAACUUUCUAUUCUCACCUGGUUUUAAAUAGAUCGUUUCGACUGUACUUCUCCACGUCUUUUAACAUUCAGUAACGAUAAAGCAAACUGAGGACCACACUUAGGUGAAGCAGCAGAAUCAGAAGGUGAAGUGGUUGCCUAGCAACAUCACCUGUGAGUAAUUAAGCAUCUCUCGAGAAUUGCUGAAGUUGGCUUUGAAUUCUUGGCCUUGUUACAAAUAGCUACUUAGGCUAGUUGGACCCUGCCUAACGGUUGCGUUGCACAUUAUAAUGCCCAACAUGGGCCGGGAAGUAAGAAGGCGUUAUCACCAACAUGUGUUUUUCAACAAGGCUCGCAGUCACCUGUGGCACAGGUCACCGCUAAAAAUAUGUGGACGUAUCCAGUUCAGGGGCUCUGACACCAAGGCAAGGCAUUUACACGCGAAUGAGACACUUGCAAGACCUGCCACACUCUGAGGAAGGUUCAGACAGCCUAUCACUCUCUCCUAGCAACUCUAAGUGAGAAUUUGUGGUUUCUUCAAGUCACAGCCUGUUCUACAGAGUUGGCCAAUUUAAUCGCAAACCUCUGGUUCCGGUUAUGCAUUUUGGACUGAGCUAUGAAUUCCAUCAAAAUCUAUUAGAGGGCUACCCAGCCAUUAAUAAAGCAGCACUUCUUUCCUUUUUUUGUGUGUGU
rnacentral:lncRNA from 12 species